rnacentral:tRNA from 2 species
GGACACGUGGCCCAGCUGGAUAAGGCGGUGGCCUCCUAAGCCACAGAUCGCGGGUUCGAAUCCUGCCGUGUCCG